AUGAUUUUUAGCUCAAAUAUGGGUAAAAGCUAGCAUGCAAUUGUUGGAAAGCGUAUUUACCCUUGCAAAACUCCUGCAACACAACUUUUAACCAUCAAGAUACAGUAACUUAUAAAAUUAAAGUUCUAUUAUUAGUGAAAGGCUGAAAGCUAUUAUGUAAAUGUUUAGCUUCCAGGCACUAGUAAACUGUCCGGAAUUUGUUUGGUAUCUGGAGACGCGAUAUAGGUGCACAUGAAUUGUUUUUAAAGAGAAACUGCCUAAUCUCUAACAAGGCCAUUACUGCUGAUGAACAAGUACAUGAAGACAAAACCAAUGGAACACUUCACACAGACGGGCUUUGUGUACCUAAGUAGGGGAGUGUGAAAAUUAACGAUCAGAUUUGGGAUGAAGUUUUGCUUCGUGAUCCACUUGUUAAAAAUGUUAUUCCUGCUGUUGAGGAGCUUUUGUCAAAUCUCAUUCUUCUGGGCUAGCAUCACAAUGAUGAAUAAAGAAAAAGGUGGUGACUGAAUUCCACCAGCAAUGAUGUACUAGUUGCUUGAAGGGGAUUACUCUGAUCUUGAAAUGCAAUGCCCAUGAUACUGAUAGGAUGCAUCUUGGCAUGCAUCCAUUUCAUCAUCAAUAUCAGCAUUCAUAAUGAUAUUGAUAGGAUGCAUCAGAUUUCAAAUUCUGUCCAAUUGGUCAGCCAAGCAAUAUAGUGUUAGAUGGAUUCAAGGAUUGUGAUCAACUCGUACAGCAUUGGUUGCUGUUUGCAGGGGAUAUGAGAAGGGGACACGCGUUCUAUUCUGGAA